GGUUUUUAUGAGGCGGACGAAGAAUGUGAAGUGGCCAGCUUUUUGAAGGACUUUCACAACGUUAAGAGGGCCUUUUGAAGGCAUUACCGGGACCAGAGCAGGUGCUGGUGCAGCAGCUGCAGGUGGUGGUGGAGGAGGGGCUGCAGCUGGUGCUUUUCCUGUAGGGGCUGGAGCUGCAGCCGGUGAUUGGGCUAGGAUUGUGGAGCAGUGAAGGAAGAGAAGAAGCAGUGAAAAUGAGAAGGGGGAUUGUAGCUUCAUUUUUGUGGCCUAGCUUGGUGCUCUGAAGCUUUGCUAAACUGUAAAAGCAAUUGCUGCCUGAAAC
rnacentral:misc_RNA from 1 species